rnacentral:rRNA from 1 species
GUGCCAGCAGCCGCGGUAAUACGGAGGAUCCGAGCGUUAUCCGGAUUUAUUGGGUUUAUAGGGAGCGUAGGCGGAUGUUUAAGUCGGUUGUGAAAGUUUAAGGCUCAACCUUGAAAUUGCAGUUGAUACUGGACGUCUUGAGUGCAUUAAAUGUGGGAGGAAUUCGUGGUGUAGCAGUGAAAUGCUUAGAUAUCACGAAGAACUCCAGUUGCGAAGGCAGCUUACUGGACUGUAACUGACGCUGAUGCUCGAAAGUGAGGGUAUCAAACAGGAUUAGAUACCCUGGUAGUCCACACAGUAAACGAUGAAUACUCGGUGUUUGCGAAAUACAGUAAGCGGCAAAGCGAAAGCGUUAAGUAUUCCACCUGGGGAGUACGCAGGCAACGGUGAAACUUAAAGGAAUUGGCGG